ACAACAUUAUGGACGUACACUUAAAAGCGGUGAAAAUGGUAAACUUAAUUUUAUAGAUACUUUACCACAAUGUAAGAAAUAAAAAAUAUAAAAAUGAAAACACAUUGCUCACAGCCCCAAGAAUGACUGAGAUGGAUUUUCCACCAGCUCAGCAGGGGAAGGGCUGAGUUAGACUUGAUUUGAUUUGAAAGGAAGAGAGAAGAGCAGCCUUUCCUGUCUGAGUUUGCACGGUCAGGUUCACACCUGUUACAAACCCAAGGCCCCAGUAGCCAUGCUGGACGCUGCACCCUGAUAUGGUUUGGAUUCGGGUCCCCGCCCACAUCUCCUAUCAAAUUGUAAUCCUCGGUGUUGGGGGAGGGGCCCGAUGGGAGGCGAUUGGAUCACGCGGGCGAACUUCCCCUUUGCUGUUCUCGUGAUAGUGAGUUCUCACCAGAUCUGGUUGUUUAAAAGUGUGGGCUGGGCAUGGUGGCUCAUGUCUGUAAUCCCAGCACUUUGGGAGGCCGAGGCGGGCAGAUCACCUGAGGUCAGGAGUUCAAGACCAGCCUGGCCAACAUAGUGACACCCCGUCUCUACUAAAAUUACAAAAAUUAGCCAGGCGUGUUGGCACGCACCUGUAAUCCCAGCUACUCAGGAGGCUGAGGCACGAGAAUCCCUUGAAUCCAGAAGGCGGAGGUUGCAGUGAACCGAGAUCUCACCACUGUCCUCCAGCCUGGGCGACAGCCAGACUCUGUCUUGGGGGAAGAAAAAAAGCGUGUGGCACGUCCCCCUUCACUCUCUUCCUACUGCCCCAGCCUUGUGGGACGUGCUGGCUCCCCGUUCACCUUCCGCCACAAUUGGAAGUUUCCCGAGCCCUCCCCAGCCAUGCUUGCUGUACGGCCUACAGAACCAUGAGCCAAUUAAACCUCUUUCUUUAUAAAUUACCCAGUCUUGCGUAGUCCUUUACAGCAAGGCGAGAACGGACUCACACACCGUUUUCAGCACUCCCUUGCCCCAUGCCUGAGCCCCUCUCAUCCUUACUCCCCAGGGUUGGGGCUGGGUGGGAGGGAGGCAGGCAGGGAGAGAGGAUAUCUUUUUCAUUCAUUACAUUAGAAUAACUUCUUUUCCAUGCUGAAAGCUUAAUGAUUUGUUUUCUAGGUCACCUCAAAAUGUCCCCAAGCCAUCGCUGGAACUACCCGAUGAAGUCAUUCUUCCUUACAAAGUAGAUUCCGUUGCUAGGGCUGCCAUAACCAAAUGCCGCAGCCUGGGUGGCUUCAACAGAAUUUCAUUUCCCCACAGUCCUGGGAGCUGGAAGCCCAAGGUCCAGGCGCUAUCUUCCAAUUCAGCCAUUCGGAGGUCUUGGCGGUUGAAACUUCAAGACAGGAAUUUGGAGUGAGGACACAGUUCAUUCCAUACACAAAGACAGGAGCGGCUUCAUCCAGAACCCGGAAGGUCUGUCCCUCUACAGAAACCCAGAUCUAAUCGUGUCGCAUCCCACACCAGAUGGGAUCUCACUAUGUUGCCCAGGCUAGAGUGCAUUGGCUAUUCACAGACGAUCAUGAUGCAAUCAUAGUGCACCACAUCCUCAAACUCCUGGACUCAAGUGAUCCUCCCUCCACAGCCUCCCAAGUAGCUGAGACUGCAGGCACACGCCACUGCACCCAGCCCUGGACUAUUAACUUUUAUAUUUUUUAUAUCCAUAGAGUCAGGCAGCUUCUGAUGCAUAGUAACCAUGUAAUAAAUGUUGAAUGAAUAAAUGUGAAUGACCAUACCCAUACAUAGACAUAUGCAUUCAUAUAAAUCUCAGCUUCUCAUCUCAUUCUCCCAAGCAAUGCUAACAGCCUUGACAGCUUUUGACAAACUGAUUCACAACAAAGCCUUGAUUUUCCCAUCCAUGAAGUGGGGCUAAAAUAUGCCUAAAUCUACGGAUUGCCUUUAGAAUUCAGUCUCCUUCAAAAUUUCAAACUAAGGGUCUCACCCCCAUUAGCGCAUCACGAAG
rnacentral:lncRNA from 10 species